rnacentral:lncRNA from 1 species
AUGGACUGGGCCCUGAUGCAAGUGGCCGAGGCAGAGCCCGAUGAUGUGGCCAUCACUCUCCUGCGGGUGGCCCCAACGUGUGACAGAGCUGCUAUGGCCAUGUGGACGACCAUCUUGCUCUCGCCCUGGAUUUCAGAGGAAGUGACACCGCUCCUCAUCAAUGUGGUGGGGAGCUGGCCGCAGAAAAACCUGGGCACCUCUGAUGGGGACAAGACGGCUGUCUUUUCCCUGACUGUGAGUUUCGGGAGCUGGCCUUUGCUCACCACAAGGCCAGCCGCCUCUCCAGCAGCUCUGUUGCCUCCUUCCCCCACUGCAUCUCCCUGCUUCAGGCACUGGGCACAAACCUGGCCUAGGGGCAGCUUCAGGGCCACCAGGCCCGCUGCUUCCCCUGUGACGUCCGUACCCUCUGGAAGGAAUGCCAGGAGCAACACGGCCUCUCCACCAGCCCCAACAGGUUUGCAGUGCAGACCCUGAAGGCCCUGCCCUGCAGUCUCCACUUGGAGCAUGUGGUGGUGGCAAUGGAACGGUGGCAAUGGAACGCAAGCGUGGCUGGGACACGCUGCUCUGUGCUGACACCCACCACUAUGCCGUGGGUCUGCUGGCCAGGUGAGCCCCCCUUCUCCCCACUGCCUCUGACAUUUGUGCCCCAUGGCCGGGAUGCCCCCCACAGUCCCCGUGGCCAUGGGCCUGAGGGCCUCGUGAGCGAGGGCCUCGUCAGCGAGGGAUGGCCAAGGAGACUGCAAAAGGCUGUGAGAGGAGGGUGUGCCGGAGCAGCCUCAUCUCAAGGGCCGACAUCUCCUCACAGGGUGCUGGGGCAAUAUGACGACUGUGUCAGUCAGUCCUGGGAGAGGUUGUUCUCCCCCUUGAUGAGGCUCUUUGUGCCGUUUUCUGCCUUCCAGGGUGUGGAUGCUAAAUCUGAACCAGAGUGCCUGUAGUUAUUACAGGCCACAUAGCUCUCAGGCCUGACUGAAGCUAGCCUGGGAAAUUCAUGAGAAGGAAUUAAGACAAUUCUCAGAGAUACUAAACAGCCUUGCAGGUGUUGUUUUGCAACCUGUUGUUUCUCCUUGCAGGAGACAGUCAGGGGGGGCAAGUGCCCCUGACCAAUGAUGGUGGUGUAGUACUUUGUUAACCAAUAAGAGUUUCCUUUCUGUACUUUUCCACGUAUCUGUCUAUAAGACAGAGCUGAAGCAAUAAACUAGGAAUUCUGGUGUUGUGACUCCCUUGA